GGCCCUGUCGUCUAGCGGUCCAGGACGCCGCCCUCUCACGGCGGAAACGCCGGUUCGAUCCCGGUCGGGGCUACCA
rnacentral:tRNA from 1 species